rnacentral:rRNA from 1 species
UCGCUACAGAGGGAAGCAAUACAGUGAUGUGGAGCAAAACCCUAAAAACGAUCUCAGUUCGGAUUGAAGUCUGAAAUUCGACUUCAUGAAGCUGGAAUUGCUAGUAAUCGCGGAUCAGCAAGCCGCGGUGAAUACGUUCCCGGGCCUUGUACACACCGCCCGUCACACCAUGAGAGUCGGGAACACCCGAAGUCCGUAGUCUAACCGCAAGGGGGGCGCGGCCGAAGGUGGGUCCGGUAAUUGGGGUGAAGUCGUAACAAGGUAAC